rnacentral:tRNA from 1 species
CUCCCUAUAGUAUAAAAAGUACAGCUAACUUCGAACUAGCAAGUCCCAUAAAGGAAGGGGAAAGGAUA